UGGCGGCAGGCUUAACACAUGCAAGUCGAGCGGGCGUAGCAAUACGUCAGCGGCAGACGGGUGAGUAACACGUGGGAACGUACCUUUUGGUUCGGAACAACACAGGGAAACUUGUGCUAAUACCGGAUAAGCCCUUACGGGGAAAGAUUUAUCGCCGAAAGAUCGGCCCGCGUCUGAUUAGCUAGUUGGUGAGGUAACGGCUCACCAAGGCGACGAUCAGUAGCUGGUCUGAGAGGAUGAUCAGCCACACUGGGACUGAGACACGGCCCAGACUCCUACGGGAGGCAGCAGUGGGGAAUAUUGGACAAUGGGCGCAAGCCUGAUCCAGCCAUGCCGCGUGAGUGAUGAAGGCCCUAGGGUUGUAAAGCUCUUUUGUGCGGGAAGAUAAUGACGGUACCGCAAGAAUAAGCCCCGGCUAACUUCGUGCCAGCAGCCGCGGUAAUACGAAGGGGGCUAGCGUUGCUCGGAAUCACUGGGCGUAAAGGGUGCGUAGGCGGGUCUUUAAG
rnacentral:rRNA from 1 species